GAUGAACGCUGGCGGCGUGCCUAAUACAUGCAAGUCGAGCGAACGGACGAGAAGCUUGCUUUUCUGAUGUUAGCGGCGGACGGGUGAGUAACACGUGGAUAACCUACCUAUAAGACUGGGAUAACUUCGGGAAACCGGAGCUAAUACCGGAUAAUAUUUUGAACCGCAUGGUUCAAAAGUGAAAGACGGUCUUGCUGUCACUUAUAGAUGGAUCCGCGCUGCAUUAGCUAGUUGGGAAGGUAACGGCUUACCAAGGCAACGAUGCAUAGCCGACCUGAGAGAGUGAUCGGCCACACUAGAACUGGAACACGGUCCAGACUCCUACGGGAGGCAGCAGUAGGGAAUCUUCCGCAAUGGGCGAAAACCUGACGGAGCAACGCCGCGUGAGUGAUAAAGGUCUUCGGAUCGUAAAACUCUGUUAUUAGGGAAGAACAUAUGUGUGAGUAACUGUGCACAUCUUGACGGUACCUAAUCAGAAAGCCACGGCUAACUACGUG
rnacentral:rRNA from 1 species